UCUUGCAGGCAGCUUGGGCGUGCCCAGAGUGGUGCCCCUCUUCUCUAGGGACAAACGUGACUGUUGUUUCUUUUCAUAGCUGAUGGGCUCGGAUGCCAAGGUUUUCAGGAACCUUGUGCAGGAAUCACUGUUCCCGCCGGCUCUGAACACAAAAUGCUGCAUUUAGUCAUGUUAUAUCCAACGUUCUGCACUGUAAAACAGUGUUCCCUGAAAUGCGCCCAGCACCCCCUUCCAUCCAGCCGUUCAGCCCGGGGAUCUCCCCUCUUCCACGCGCUGCUCUCUGCCUGUGGAUCGGGGUGAGGAUCAGCUCAGCAUGGAGGAGCUCAACUUCUCCUUCGAAGGAAUCGUGGCUACGUCCCCCGCAGAAGCGUUCCUCCCUGGAGGGCUAAGAAACAGGCGAGGGGGGAAAGGGGUACAAGGGAGAAGCCACCCCACCUCCAGCCCCCGGUUCCCGCCUUAGUAUCCCGGCUGUGGUUUCUGAGCAUUCACUGUCACAGAAAAGCACUCAGCUGAGGAUGGUUGGAGGCCAGGAGUUCAAGACCAGCCUGGGCAACAUAGCAAGACCCUCCCCUCCCCCCCGCCCCGUUCUCUACAAAAAUAUAACAAAUAACAUAAAAAGGACAAUAAUUAUAACCUGCGCCAAACCUCUGGCCUCCCCAGAACCUUCCCUGCGCUGAGGGGGCCUCUGAAUUUUUGCGGAGGUUUAUCUCCCACUCUCUGACUUGUCUCACUAAGACAUCAAAAGUAUUUUUUUCCUCAGUGUCCAUGGGGACGUUGAAAAAAAUAAAAAGUACUUGCUACUUCCUGCCCCUCAUGAAGGGGGAAGGGAAGUGCUGGGUAGAGAAGGGCGUGGUCCCUGGCUAGGGAUCUCCCCUACCGCCCGCCCGGACCCACAAACCUAA